AUUGUUUCUACUUCUUUGCUUUGAUGUUCUACCAUGAUGGGAAUCAUAUAAUCAAAUAUAAAUGUGGAUAUGUAUGGCUUCAGCCAUUUUUCAAGUGAAAGAUAGAACAUGUCCAGCUUCAUUGGACUUAAUUCUCACGGAAAAUCACCGGAAUUAAACUGCAGAUGACCUAUUACUGAAACUUUGCUGCUUAUAGACUUGAUGAGCAUCUCUCCAGCAAAUAAGAAAAGUGAAUUAAGUGCUCAGAAUUAACUGAACCUAUUGGAGACUACUUUUCUGUUGGAUGGCAUUUGGCAGCAGCAUUCACCAUAAUUUUAUCACAACUUCUAAAGACACUGAUGAAAGACUUCCAGAACUGCUUCAGAAAGUGGCAAGAACAAUGGGGCCUUCUUUGCUGACUGUGAGUGAGGAAUACUUCAAAAAGUAUAUUCCACUUGACCUCAGUCUGAAGGAUACACAAGAUUUUACCAAUGAGAAGGAGAAUAACGGUGUUGCUGAGAGGUAAAACAGAAUGUUCACUUCUGUAUCUUCAGUGUGGUAGGACAGAGGCCUGGAGAACUGUGAGAACCUAGGUUGGUCUGUGAGCAAGGUAUACCAUGAAACACAGAAAGAGGC
rnacentral:lncRNA from 1 species